rnacentral:ncRNA from 2 species
UACAGAGGUCCCAAGCGUUGUUCGGAUUCACUGGGCGUAAAGGGUGCGUAGGUGGUGAGGUAAGUCGGAUGUGAAAUCUCCAAGCUCAACUUGGAAACUGCAUUGGAAACUGCCUUGCUAGAGGAUUUGAGGGGGGAUUGGAAUACUUGGUGUAGCAGUGAAAUGCGUAGAUAUCAAGUGGAACACCAGUGGCGAAGGCGAAUCCCUGGAAAAUACCUGACACUGAGGCACGAAAGCUAGGGGAGCAAACAGG